rnacentral:rRNA from 1 species
UACAGGGGGGGCAAGCGUUGUUCGGAAUUACUGGGCGUAAAGGGUCUGUAGGUGGCCAACUAAGUCAGACGUGAAAUCCCUCAGCUUAACUGGGGAACUGCUUGGUAUACUGCGGGUCUUGAGCCACCUAGGGGCAAGCGGAACAAGCGGUGGAGCGGUGAAAUGCGUAGAUAUCACUUGGAACGCCAACGGUGAAAACAGUCUGCUGGGAACUUGCUGACGCUGAGACACGAAAGCCAGGGGAGCGAACGGG